rnacentral:rRNA from 1 species
GAGCGGCCUAUGUCCCAUUAGCUAGUUGGUAGGGUAAAGGCCUACCAAGGCUACGAUGGGUAGCUGGUCUGAGAGGAUGAUCAGCCACACUGGAACUGAGACACGGUCCAGACUCCUACGGGAGGCAGCAGUGGGGAAUAUUGCACAAUGGGCGAAAGCCUGAUGCAGCAACGUCGCGUGAGUGAAGAAGGCCCUUGGGUCGUAAAGCUCUUUCGGCAGGGAAGAAGGGUCAUUGAAUUAAUACUUCAGUGAUUUGGCGGUACCUGAAUAA